UACCAGCACCCCGAGUGGUCGGGACGUUUUAUUGGGCCUAAAGCAUCCGUAGCCGGUUCUACAAGUCUUCCGUUAAAUCCACCUGCUUUAACAGAUGGGCUGCGGAAGAUACUAUAGAGCUAGGAGGCGGGAGAGGCAAGCGGUACUCGAUGGGUAGGGGUAAAAUCCGUUGAUCCAUUGAAGACCACCAGUGGCGAAGGCGGCUUGCCAGAACGCGCUCGACGGUGAGGGAUGAAAGCUGGGGGGAGCAAACCGG
rnacentral:rRNA from 1 species